rnacentral:sRNA from 1 species
AUUGAGUGGGAAUAAGACAUUAAAUUAAUAAUAUUUGUGAAGCCUAUCUUAAAGCGUUUUUCAACUUGUUAAAUGUUUUAAAUGCUUGAUUUAUGAUAGUAUUCACCACCAAAAGACCCCCCCAAGAUAUAUUUCUUGGGGGGUUAAUU